AUGCAUGCAGCAGCGGGUAGUGCCAAGGUCGGCCUCGGGGAAGAUAACCAGGGUCAGGUGGUUUUCCCGGGGCGAGGCUCAUCCAUUGUACCCCAGAUGUGCUGACCCCAGCCAGUUCCCCAGAUGUGGAGAACUCGGUUGCAGAAUUUGUGGUAGUGGGGGACUGUGUUGGUGCUUUCCCCUG
ensembl:snRNA U1 U1 spliceosomal RNA